rnacentral:rRNA from 1 species
AUGGAGAUUGACUGCUUGGAGCUAGAUCUAUGGCAUUUGCGCGGCAACACCAGAUCAGUUGGAGCGCCUAUCUUGAGUGAACUAGAGGAAAUUGGUGCUUCUUUUGCUUCGUUAUCUAUUACACAUGUCAGCAGGGAAGCUAAUGUAUCGGCGCAUCAGUGUGCCCGCCUAGCUAGCACACUGGAUGACACUGAUAGUUGGCUUGAUGUAAGCCCUGUUUUUUUAGUCUCUUGCCUGCGGGCGGAUUGUAACACUAUGAUUCUAAAUUAA